GUCGUCUUAGCUCAGUUGGUAGAGUGUGUGGCUUUUAAUCAUGUGGUUGUGGGUUCGAAUCCCACAGAUGGCG